UUUUAGAAAUUAAUUUAAAGUCUAACCUGCCCACUGAAUAUUUAAAUGGCCGCAGUAUUCUAACUGUGCAAAGGUAGCAUAAUCAUUAGUCUUUUAAUUAAAGGCUGGAAUGAAUGGUUGAAUGAAAUAUUAACUGUUUCAUAAAAAUUUAAAAUAAAAUUUUAUUUUUUAGUCAAAAAGCUAAAAUAAUAUUAAAAGACGAGAAGACCCUAUAAAUCUUUAUACUUAGUUAAUUUUAGUUAUAUUGAAAAAUUAAAUUAUAAUUAUUUUAAGUAUUUUAUUGGGGUGAUAUUAAAAUUUAAUAAACUUUUAAUUUAUUAUUUACAUAAAUUAAUGAAUUUUUGAUCCAUAUAUUAUGAUUAAAAAAUUAAGUUACUUUAGGGAUAACAGCGUAAUUUUUUUAGAGAGUUCAUAUUGAUAAAAA
rnacentral:rRNA from 1 species